AAGUUUAGCCAGGGUUAGUCGUUGGUGUCCACGUAAGGGGGCCGGAGGAGCGAAACGGUGGCGAAAAACGAGGAAAGGGUGGUCGCGCGAGUGAAUUACGAAGGAAGAAGGGAAAGGAAUCGAGUUCGAGUCAGCAACAGGAGGGUGGAGAUAGAAGAGGAAGAAAAAGGAAAGGGUGAAUCGAGGUUCGAGAGGAAUCUGAAGAAUCUUACCAGCUCCUGUAUCCGGGUGUACCAGGUACCGCUCCAUUCGCAGCGGCCGCAGCCUCCCUCUGCUUUUUGUUCACAAGGAAGCUCUGAAAUCGUAAGUUUAUUUGAAACUUU